rnacentral:lncRNA from 1 species
AAUGCUGCCGAGGAGAAGCUGGGUUCUCAGUUGGACAUCCUGGCACCAAUCAAAUACUAGUGUGCCGCGCAGUCAUGCAUCAUCUGUUUUGCUGGAUAAUGGUGGUUAUUGUUUACGUUAGUAGCCUGAGAGUGUCGUUGAGAUUUGAAACCUCUGAGUAUCUAUACUAUUCCAAUCUUUGUAGCAAAUGGAUUGUUUGGUAUUGUUGUUUUCGCCCCAUGAGAUUUCAAAGAUGUUGCUGUUUUCUCCAUCAUGUUUUUGUUGUCGUCAGGAACUUAGGACGGCUCUCGCACAAG